CCUACGGGGGGCAGCAGUGGGGAAUAUUGGACAAUGGGGGGAACCCUGAUCCAGCCAUGCCGCGUGUGUGAAGAAGGCCCUCGGGUUGUAAAGCACUUUCAGUGAGGAAGAACGCCUGGUGGUUAAUACCCAUCAGGAAAGACAUCACUCACAGAAGAAGCACCGGCUAACUCCGUGCCGGCAGCCGCGGUAAUACGGAGGGUGCGAGCGUUAAUCGGAAUUACUGGGCGUAAAGCGCGCGUAGGUGGCUUGAUAAGCCGGUUGUGAAAGCCCCGGGCUCAACCUGGGAACGGCAUCCGGAACUGUCAAGCUAGAGUGCAGGAGAGGAAGGUAGAAUUCCCGGUGUAGCGGUGAAAUGCGUAGAGAUCGGGAGGAAUACCAGUGGCGAAGGCGGCCUUCUGGACUGACACUGACACUGAGGUGCGAAAGCGUGGGUAGCAAACAGGAUUAGAUACCCGUGUAGUC
rnacentral:rRNA from 1 species